GAGUUAGAAGCCGAUUUGGGCCAUUAAAUCCUAAUUGGAGGGAAAAAGCAAUGUCUUUGGUACUGUUCCGGAGAGCUACAUUGUGAAGAGUCUAUGUUUUAGCUAUGUUGUGUCACUGUGGCUAUGUGGAACACAAUUUUUGCUCCAUGGUUUCGUAGGCAAUCCUGUGCUAGUCUAUAUCCUUUUCUGUUUCUUGUUUUUUCACCUUUUUCCCUUUUUUUUUUAAUUGCAUUCACUUUUCAGGCAAGAAAAAGAUGGGAUUUUUUUUUCUUAAUAUUGCCCAUCAUUUAAGCUUUUGUUGGAUUAUCCGCUUUGGUAAUGAAAAUUUAGAUAAUUCACUUAAGGCAUAAUUAUAUAGCUUUUUUCUUCAAGAUAUGGAUAACUGUUCUAGAUGGUAUCGUAUCAUACCUUAAUUUAUUCUGAAAAUUGAUUAUUCUCGAAUAGCCUAGAGCUCAUGUCUUGCUUUCUAUAGGU
rnacentral:misc_RNA from 1 species